GCUCCCGUAGUUUAAUGGAUAAAACAAAAGCUUCCUAAGCUUUAGAUGCACGUUCGACUCGUGCCGGGAGCA
rnacentral:tRNA from 1 species